CAGCUAUCGACUUCCACUACAACUCACUGAUGACACUGGCCUUGAACCACCAUUUUUCUGCCUCACUAAUGAUUCCAAUCAGUUAUUUCUCGAUCGCGCAUUUAAACUUACUUGUAUGUAAUUUUUUAAUCAAUAAUCAAUCCAGAAAAUCCCAAUUGAUCAAUUUCUUUAUUUUUUUAAUGACUCCUCUGGAAAAAUUAAGAAAUUUCUUUUUACCUAAGAGUGAUGCUUCAAGAAGAUGGUAGGCCAAGAUAAGUGGGGUCCCAUCCGUUGAUCGCUUCUGAGUGUUGAUUAUACUAUACAAAAUGGACUCCAGAAUCACAAAGGGAGUCCCUCCGACGGUAGAGACGACCAUCGGGCCUCGGUCGUGCUUUGCCCUGUCCAUCAAAAGGAGAAGUGGCUUCUGCAAAGGUGUUCUAAGAAGAAGUAACAGAAUCACAAAGACUUUUUCGAAUAGCAAACAAAACAGAGGCUGAAGCAUUUUUUUUUCCUGUAAAAAUUUUUCAUUAGGGUUGAAACAACUGAAAAUUGGUGAUGAGGCUGAAGCAUUUUUUUUUCCUGUGAAAAUUUUCAAUUAGGGUUGAAACAAUUGAAAUUUGGGGAUGUAAAUUGGGGAGAAUCCAGGAGACGUGGUGGACAAAUAAAAGAAAACGUGGCAUCAAAGGAAAAGCAUGCUAAUAUUUGUUGUGCAAAAACUCACAUUA
rnacentral:lncRNA from 1 species